UUUUAAUAUUCACUUUCAUUUAUUUGGAUUUCUGCGCAGGGGACAGUCCGCGCGCACGUGCAAACAGCGACGGUUUAAAAAUGUCACUGAAAACCUCAAAGAUCAAAGUCUGAUCCAACACAACAUGACGGUUUGUGGCAAAAAGCCCACAUGUCUCACCUGCGCGCUCCCACCCGGUACACACCUGUGAGCUUGUCAGGCAGUGUGAAUGAAGAGGUCAAAGGUUGCGAGCGCCACAGCUGCCCAAGGACAGAACAGACCAUCUGUGAUCUCCUUGCAUUGGUUCCUAAUACAGAGACAGCCCAACUUGCUUGCACACUCAGCCUGAAGCCGCACCUGUUUGCGGAGGACAGCGACCAUGAAAUUCCAUCUGAAACCACACGCUGCUGUUCCUCUGCCGGCCACCAGGGGCACCAGUUGUGAGCCAGUCCUCACAAAGUCCUGUUAACAUAAACAUACUGACAGGCUCAUGCAGAAGCUGUUUUGGUGUCUGUAUAUAACCCUUAACAAGAGUGAGGAUUGGCAUUGACUAACACUACCUCAGAUGACCUCGCUGGUUUUUGUGGACACAAAUCCAUGCUUCAGUUUAUUCUGAAAAACAGAAUAAACUGAGAUGCUGUGAGGUCAUGUGGUGAUUUCUUUCUGUCAUUUUGUUUUUAUUUUCACUCCUUACACAACAUCAGACCUUCCUUUGUGUGUUUUGCUGCCACAGCAGCACACGUGUGCAAGCUUUCAGGUCUCCUUAUUGCGCACACAUCCAUCUCCUUACAGUGUGAGCAUAAAGGCUUGCUUUCCACAUGGUGGCAUCCAUGGACUCGCGGCUUUCAUGCGUGCCUCUUUGUUUCCUUUAUGCUCGUGUCCUCUGCUGCUCUGCUGCUGCUGGCUCGGCCCUGGGGCCACACUCUGCCUCAUCCUGCUGGCUCUGAAGGAGAUGGAUACAUCUUUUCUUUAAAACACAAACUCGUGUUUGUCUGCACAUAUAGAAACAUCCCCAUCAGUCCACCACUGCUGGUCAGCUGUUACUUUAUGGUUGAAGUGAGUUCUUGUACUAUCAUGUUUGGAUCUCAUGCAGCCAUGUGAGUCUUUAUGUCAACAUUGUAAUUAUUAACCAGCAACAAGCUGGAGCAUCACUUUCUGUUUUUGCUGUAAUCAUGAAAGAUCCUUGUUUCUGUGUUCUGUGGAGUUUAUUCUGCGUUUAAUCAUCUUUUUAAUCAUUAUUUUUGUUGGUUUUAUGAGAAAUUCAUGAUAAGUUUGAAUGUUUUUUUUUCUUGUGCUUUUCAGUAUCUUGCUGUUGAUGUCUAGAGAACUUCAGUCACUGCUCAGCAAUAUCCAAAUAAAAU
ensembl:lncRNA